rnacentral:rRNA from 1 species
GGACUACACGGGUAUCUAAUCCUGUUCGCUCCCCACGCUUUCGCGCCUCAGCGUCAGUAUUGUGCCAGGUGGCUGCCUUCGCCAUUGACGUUCCUUCCGAUCUCUACGCAUUUCACCGCUACACCGGAAAUUCCGCCACCCUCUCACAUACUCCAGCCCGGCAGUCUGCAGUGCUCUUCCCAGGUUAAGCCCGGGGCUUUCACACCACGCACGCCGUGCCGCCUACGCGCCCUUUACACCCAGUAAAUCCGAUUAACGCUCGCACCCCCUGUAUUACCGCGGCUGCUGGCAC